rnacentral:lncRNA from 1 species
GUAGGAUCAAAGAAUAGAAGGGGAAAAAAUGAGGAGUGGAAAAGCUCGAUUUAACCUUUAAGUACAGAUAACUAUCAGGGUACAAAAAAGGCAAGAAAACAUGACAAAAUGAAAGGAUUAUUGAUGGGCAAUAAAGGAAGCGUAGUAGGUUUACCUUGAGAUUUCACUGAGCUAAUAUACUGGCUCCCAUUUCUAUGUUUAUUGUAGGAAAAAGAGAAAAACACUAAUCCAGGGAUAGAGCUGACUAGGGAUGCCCAAGUCAAAAAGACUUUGUAGCACUGGGCUUGGCAGAGGGUCCUGAAGCUAAAUGCAGAAGACUGUGGGAAAUGUCUUCAACUGGGGCUAAAGGUCGUAAGCAAGGACAAUGAACCUGGAAUUCGGAGGAAUUCAUACUCCAGUGAAGAAUUUCCAGACCCCUCAUGAGAAUAGCAGAUUGCCUACUCACCAGAGAAUACUCAAGCUGAAACUAAGCAGCCCCUGGAGAGUAAGCAAAUGAUUAGAAGGGUAGAUUUCAGGCAAGCAAAAGGGAGAGAGCCCAGAAUCUCCAUGUGAAUGACCCUAAAAUUACAGCUAAUAUAGGAAGUGGCUUCCUUGUACCUCUAGAAAUUGAACUCUCAGAACCUGACUGACAGUCUGCUCUUAAGAACAUUACCUCAAUCUGGAGAGAAAUGUGUGUUUCUUCUAUAUGGAUUUCAGACAGAAGCAGAAGGAGGCUUAGAGGUUCUUUGUCACAAGUUGCCAAAAUGAAACAGAACUGUGAAAAGAAAAUGGAGAUGCUUCUUCAGGAGGUGCCCGUGAUGUGAUUUACUUGAUGAUUAUGGCCUGCAGGGUAUUGAGAUGGGAUUGUGGAACUUAAAUAAACUGGAUAUGAGUAGAGAUCUGAAAGGUUUUUCAAAAACAUUCAGCUUUACUUUUUUUU